ensembl:misc_RNA Metazoa_SRP Metazoan signal recognition particle RNA
GCUGGGUGUGGUGGCUGGCACCUGUAAUCCCAGCUACUUGGGAGGCUGAGGCGGGAGAAUCGCUUGAACCCAGGAGGUGGAGGUUGCAGUGAGCCAAGGUCACACCACUGCACUCCAACCUGGGUGACAUAGCGAGACUCUGUCUUAA